GACGAACGCUGGCGGCGUGCCUAACACAUGCAAGUCGAACGAGGUCCAGGGGAGCUUGCUCCCUGACGACCUAGUGGCGAACGGGUGAGUAACACGUGAGAAACCUGCCUCGGAGUGGGGAAUAACUCGGGGAAACUCGAGCUAAUACCGCAUACCUUCACAUGAUCGCAUGGUCGAGUGAAGAAAGAAUUUCGCUCUGAGAGGGUCUCGCGGCCUAUCAGCUUGUUGGUGGGGUAACGGCCUACCAAGGCAACGACGGGUAGCCGGUUUGAGAGAACGAUCAGCCACACUGGGACUGAGACACGGCCCAGACUCCUACGGGAGGCAGGAGUGGGGAAUCUUGCGCAAUGGGCGAAAGCCUGACGCAGCAACGCCGCGUGAGGGAUGACGGCCUUCGGGUUGUAAACCUCUUUUAGUAGGGAAGAAGCGAAAGUGACGGUACCUGCAGAAAAAGCACCGGCUAACUACGUGCCAGCCGCCGCCGUAAGAC
rnacentral:rRNA from 1 species